UGAGGACUUAAUUUCAAGAAUAGUUCCCUUUGAAUGCUGCUAAAAAUCAUGGUGGCUAUAAAUAAGAGCGGUGGAUAGGAGGAGAGCAUAACCAUGUUAGUCACAUAUAUUUCCAAGAUGAAGGCCUUUCUUAUCGUAUGCAUUCUCUUAGCCACCAUUGUCUUCACUCCCCUAUCCACUUGCAGUGCUCGAGAAUUGGCCGAGCAAGACGCGAGUGGAUCAAACAACCCCUAUAAACCAGUGUUCGGUUGCGGAAGGGGUAAGCGAUAUUGCGUACCUAACCCACCACCAUGCAUAACUCCUUACAAGCGUAAUUGUUAGAAGCAAGCAAAGUUGAGUGCUUAAAAGUAUGGAGCUUCUGCUGUCUUUGUCAAUAUGUAAAAUGAUGAGAACUAUUUAUGUGAGAAAAAUAAAUAAAGUUCUCUAGUGGAUUAGAAGAAGCAAGCAAAGUGGUGUGCUUAAAAAGUAUGGACGGCUCAUAUUGUCUUUAUCAAUAUGUAUAAUGUUAUUUUGAUAUGGGAAAUAUUUAUGUGAGAAAAAUAAAUUCAGUUCUUAGUGAGUUUCAUGGUAUCUUUUGAGGUUUUAAUUUCGGUCAUUAUACAGUCCUCCUAUUUGUAAUCUCCCAUGAGAAUUAUUAAUGAAGUUCAAUUAUGCCAAAA